rnacentral:tRNA from 1 species
GGAGGGGUGGCAGAGUGGUCGAUUGCGCCGGUCUUGAAAACCGGUGGGCCUUUGCGGGUCCCGUGGGUUCGAAUCCCACCCCCUCCGCCA